AUAUCAAUAAGCGGAGGAAAAGAAACUAACAAGGAUUCCCCUAGUAACGGCGAGUGAACAGGGAAGAGCUCAAAUUUGUAAUCUGGCGUCCUUUGGGCGUCCGAGUUGUAAUCUAUAGAAGCGUUUUCCGUGCUGGACCAUGUCCAAGUCCCUUGGAACAGGGUAUCAAAGAGGGUGACAAUCCCGUACUUGACAUGACGACCAGUGCUCUGUGAUACGCUCUCUACGAGUCGAGUUGUUUGGGAAUGCAGCUCAAAACGGGUGGUGAGUUCCAUCUAAAGCUAAAUAUUGGCGAGAGACCGAUAGCGAACAAGUACCGUGAGGGAAAGAUGAAAAGCACUUUGGAAAGAGAGUUAAACAGUACGUGAAAUUGUUGAAAGGGAAACGAUUGAAGUCAGUCGUGUCCGAGGGGUUCAGCCGGUUCUGCCGGUGUAUUCCCCUCGGACGGGUCAACAUCAGUUUGGAUCGGCGGAAAAGGGCAGUUGGAAGGUAGCAGCUCCGGUUGUGUUAUAGCCUUCUGUCGCAUACGCUGGUCUGGACUGAGGAAUGCAGCUCGCCUUCAUGGCUGGGGUUCUCCCACAUACGAGCUUAGGAUGUUGACAUAAUG
rnacentral:rRNA from 1 species